rnacentral:rRNA from 1 species
AUGCCUGGAAGUAUGCCUGUAUCAGUGUCCGUACAUCAAACUUGCCUUUCUUUUUCUGUGUAGUCAGGAAUCGAGAUGGCAGAAUGUGAGGUGUCUCGAGCCGUCCCCUCUUUUUGGGAGAUAGCACGAGUCCCUUUAAAUGUACGUUGAUCUCUCUU